rnacentral:lncRNA from 1 species
GGGGACAGGCUCUAACACCUUGAUUCCUUAUGUCUGUGUCUCUGCAGUAUGUUUCAUGGAGAGUCUGAGUGACAGCAACCAUGAUGAAAGUGAUACAGGUAAGAACAGCUCUCAGGUAGGAGCCAAUGGGAGAGGAUCCCGGGACACUUGGGUGACGCCUGCUGCUUGGAGUGUGGGGCAGGUGAGUCUGAAACUUAAAACAGAAAGAAAUUGAUGUAAAGAUGUUCACCGCCUACUUUAAUAAGGAGAGGGAGCAGAUAUGAGAUGCCUGAAUGUUGGCAUCUGUGCUCACCUUGUGUGGAAGGGUCUCAGUCCAUGGAGCAGAGGAAGGUCUGGGCACCUGGAGGAAAAACCAGGGUGAUGCUCUGUACCCGUAGUCACCUCAGGGAAGCCGGAGAAACGGGAGGGCCACUCUUUCUAACUCCUUGAUUCCCCUGAUGGUGUGUUUCUACAGACUCAGUGGUGGAGAGCCUGAGCAGCCGCCAGGAUGAGGAGGCUGCAGCAACCCUCGAUGAUGUUGUGGAGGCCGGCGGGAGUGAGAAGACGGAGGAAGAGGCCCUGGCUGGGGCAAAUGAGGAGGAGGUGGGGCCGGGAACUGAGAAGGUGCAGGAGGAGGCUGCCUGCAUUGACGAGGCAGAGGAGGAGGCAGGCCCAUCCCUUGAAAAUGACGAGGAGUCCCCAGCCAGCGACCUGGUUGAGCAGGAAGACCAGCUUGCCCCCAAGGUAAGCUCACCUUUCUUGAUCGGAGAUUUAAAAAGGUGCCUCCUUUCUUCUUGGAUGUGCCUACUUCAGAAAAGGAAAUCUGAGCAAGUCCAUUAUAGAGGAUAUAUGCACAUUCCUCUGUGGAG